AAAUUGAAGAGUUUGAUCAUGGCUCAGAUUGAACGCUGGCGGCAGGCCUAACACAUGCAAGUCGAACGGUAACAGGAAGCAGCUUGCUGCUUUGCUGACGAGUGGCGGACGGGUGAGUAAUGUCUGGGAAACUGCCUGAUGGAGGGGGAUAACUACUGGAAACGGUGGCUAAUACCGCAUAACGUCGCAAGACCAAAGAGGGGGACCUUCGGGCCUCUUGCCAUCAGAUGUGCCCAGAUGGGAUUAGCUAGUUGGUGAGGUAACGGCUCACCAAGGCGACGAUCCCUAGCUGGUCUGAGAGGAUGACCAGCCACACUGGAACUGAGACACGGUCCAGACUCCUACGGGAGGCAGCAGUGGGGAAUAUUGCACAAUGGGCGCAAGCCUGAUGCAGCCAUGCCGCGUGUAUGAAGAAGGCCUU
rnacentral:rRNA from 7 species